GUGAAGUAGUUACAAUUCAUGGAGCUGCCCUUCACAAACCUGGAAGUAGCUUUCAUCUUACUGGCUUUUGUCAUUUUCUCCUUGUUCACCUUGGCAUCUAUCUACAGUGACCCCUAUGGCAAGAAAGAAGAAGAAUGCUCCACACAGGAAGUAUACAGGAAAAGAAGCAAAUCCAACAAGAAAAAGACACAUGCAAAUACAGCUGAAUUGGUUUAGAGAAGAACUGUUACCCAGGACCACUGGUGGAAAUACAUCUAAAAGAGAUAACUUUGGAAGUUGGUCACCUGAACACAGUGAGAAAAAGAGUGUGAGAAAAGGAAGGACCUGAUCAUCCAUCAGAUGGAAACCAGACGUGACAAUUAGAGUUAAUGAACCACGACCCAAGAAGCAGCUUCAGCACUUUUUACAAUCCCACUUCAUGGCCUCAGUAAAACUUUCAGGGCUUUUUUUUUUUUUUUUUUUUUUUUUUCCCCCCCCCCACAGAACACAUCUGCUCCAAAUUCUAAAGGGAGAAACUGGUUUCAGAAGUUACAUUUGCUUUCUUCCCCACUUUUCAGUCAUGUAUGAGGUAAAUGUAAGGUCUUUGUUAACUGAAAAUCAAGACAGCUGCUUCUACAAUGGGACUAUAUAGUAUUAUUAUAUGGCUAUUUAAUCUAUAUUAAAAUUAAUGAACUGAUAAUACUGACUGAAAAACACCAAGCAAAUAUUUUUAAAACAUAACAGUAUAAUGGCAUCUAUGUUCAAAUACAGGUUUUGGCCUCAGAUACUCAGAAAGCUAAGAGAAUGCCUCAAAAAAGGGAACAAAAAAAGUUGGUUGAAACCUAAGUCUUCUAUCAUUUCUUCACAGAGUAGGUGUAGCUAAUGAAGCAGUGCCUCUCUGUCCCCCAAGUCCAGAAGAUCUGCUGAAUUUAUAUGUCUGAGAUGGAAUUGAUCUUUCUUUCCUCAUGGGCAAAGUAUUCCUGCAGUCAGAGCCUCUCAAGAAUUUCUCAGAAUCACAAAAAUCCAUCCAUUUGUUCUUCUGCUAUUUUAUGGAAUGAAGAAUUGAAAUAGGACCAAACAACUCUUGGUGGUUUUCUUCUCAUACUGGACACACCUUUCCUUGGCCUCCUCCUAAGAUGUGUUACCAAAACACUAACAAUUCACUAUGAAACCUGCUAACUAAAUUACAAUUGCUUUUUGGUUAUGGUAGUGAAUUCCAAAGACACUUUUUCAACAGCCCUGGUCAGAAAUCCACAAAGGAUACAUAGUGCAGGGCAGGAAGAUCUCAAGAGCUUGGAGAUAACGUUUCACAACCAGCUUACAUUCCAGUUCCCUCUUCUCACUGAGUUAGGAAGUGAUUGGUUGCAUCCUGCUUCUGGAGAAGGCAAAGGCAUUUCAGCCACUGGUACCAUUUAACUCCAAACUCAAAGAAAACCAUCAUUAAGAAGUGAAAGUCCAGUUUGGUCUUGUAGAUGGAAAUGUCUGUGGUAUGUGCAAGACUUCAUCAGGAGUCAACAUGUCUCGUAGUAAUGGCUCCCAGAGCUUUGCUCUUACUGACACUGUGCUCAUACAUUCCAAUUUUUAUAAUUUGUACUGCACUGCACAGUGAAAGUUAAGCUCACUCAUGCUGUAUCAUUUUAUUCUAGCAAGUUUUUUCAAUGGAAAAAAAAAUUUAAAAAAAUCUAUGGUUUGGUAAUAAAAGUAGCUGUAAAGUGUCUUGCCUGUCAUACAAACUAUUGCUAAGUAUAGUUUUAUCUUUUUUACUAUAUUAACCUCCCAAGACCUCAUUAAAUGUUACUGAUACUGAAAAUUUGGCUAAUCAGGUGAAAUAAAAUAAAAUGGAAAAAAAUUUAAAAUAUCAGUAGAUCAAACGUUUACUGUAAAUAUCUUCUUCCUUGCUCAGACACUGAACUAAUAUUUAAGUAUGCAUGCAGAGAAGUUGUAUAAUGCAUAACAUAAUGAAUAAAACACCCACAGACGAGGCAA